rnacentral:rRNA from 1 species
UGGGGAAUAUUGCACAAUGGGGGAAACCCUGAUGCAGCGACGCCGCGUGAAGGAAGAAGUAUCUCGGUAUGUAAACUUCUAUCAGCAGGGAAGAAAAUGACGGUACCUGACCAAGAAGCCCCGGCUAACUACGUGCCAGCAGCCGCGGUAAUACGUAGGGGGCAAGCGUUAUCCGGAUUUACUGGGUGUAAAGGGAGCGUAGGCGGCGACGCAAGUCAGAAGUGAAAGCCCGGGGCUCAACUCCGGGACUGCUUUUGAAACUGCGUUGCUAGAUUGCGGGAGAGGCAAGUGGAAUUCCUAGUGUAGCGGUGAAAUGCGUAGAUAUUAGGAGGAACACCAGUGGCGAAGGCGGCUUGCUGGACCGUGAAUGACGCUGAGGCUCGAAAGCGUGGGGAGCAAA